rnacentral:rRNA from 1 species
AUUGAACGCUGGCGGCAUGCCUAACACAUGCAAGUCGAACGGUAACGCGGAGAGCUUGCUCUCUGGCGACGAGUGGCGGACGGGUGAGUAAUACUUAGGAAUCUGCCCAGUAGUGGGGGACAACUCGGGGAAACUCGAGCUAAUACCGCAUACGCACUACGGUGGAAAGUGGGGGACCUUCGGGCCUCACGCUAUUGGAUGAGCCUAAGUCGGAUUAGCUUGUUGGUAGGGUAACGGCCUACCAAGGCGACGAUCCGUAGCUGGUCUGAGAGGACGAUCAGCCACACUGGGACUGAGACACGGCCCAGACUCCUACGGGAGGCAGCAGUGGGGAAUAUUGGACAAUGGGCGCAAGCCUGAUCCAGCAAUGCCGCGUGUGUGAAGAAGGCCUGCGGGUUGUAAAGCACUUUCAGUAGAGAAGAAAAGCUUACGGUUAAUACCCGUGAGUCUUGACGUAACCUACAGAAGAAGCACCGGCUAACUCCGUG